UAUUAGAUUGGUGCAAAAGUAAUUGCGGUUUUUGCCACAAUUACAUUAAAAGUAAUGGCAAAAACAGCAAUUAUUUUUGCACCAACCUAAUAUCU
rnacentral:miRNA from 1 species